CCUACGGGGGGCAGCAGUCGAGAAUCAUUCACAAUGGGGGAAACCCUGAUGGUGCGACGCCGCGUGGGGGAAUGAAGGGCUUCGGAUUGUAAACCCCUGUCAUGGGGGAGCAAAAUAAAAAGAUAGUACCACAAGAGGAAGAGACGGCGAACACUGUGCCAGCAGCCGCGGUAAUUCAGAGGUCUCAAGCGUGGUUCGGAAUCACUGGGCGUAAAGCGUUCGGAGGCUGUGUCGUAAGUCGGGUGUGAAAGGCGCGGGCUCAACCCGCGGACGGCAGAUGAUACUGCGAGACUAGAGUAAUGGAGGGGGAACCGGAAUGCUCGGUGUAGCAGUGAAAUGCGUAGAUAUCGAGAGGAACACUCGUGGCGAAGGCGGGUUCCUGGACAUUAACUGACGCUGAGGCACGAAGGCCAGGGGAGCGAAAGGGAUUAGAUACCCCUGUAGUC
rnacentral:rRNA from 1 species